CAGUCGCCACGGUAAUACAGAGGGUGCGAGCGUUAAUCGGAUUUACUGGGCGUAAAGCGUGCGUAGGCGGCUUUUUAAGUCGGAUGUGAAAUCCCUGAGCUUAACUUAGGAAUUGCAUUCGAUACUGGGAAGCUAGAGUAUGGGAGAGGAUGGUAGAAUUCCAGGUGUAGCGGUGAAAUGCGUAGAGAUCUGGAGGAAUACCGAUGGCGAAGGCAGCCAUCUGGCCUAAUACUGACGCUGAGGUACGAAAGCAUGGGGAGCAAACAGGAUUAGAUACCCGAGUAGUCCCUGUCUCUAUACA
rnacentral:rRNA from 1 species